rnacentral:rRNA from 1 species
AGUGAACGCUGGCGGUAGGCCUAACACAUGCAAGUCGAACGGCAGCACAGGAGAGCUUGCUCUCUGGGUGGCGAGUGGCGGACGGGUGAGGAAUACAUCGGAAUCUACUCUGUCGUGGGGGAUAACGUAGGGAAACUUACGCUAAUACCGCAUACGACCUACGGGUGAAAGCAGGGGACCUUCGGGCCUUGCGCGAUUGAAUGAGCCGAUGUCGGAUUAGCUAGUUGGCGGGGUAAAGGCCCACCAAGGCGACGAUCCGUAGCUGGUCUGGGAGGAUGAACAGCCACACUGGAACUGAGACACGGUCCAGCCUCCUACGGGAGGCAGGAGUGGGGAAUAUUGGACAAUGGGCGCAAGCCUGAUCCAGCCAUACCGCGUGGGUGAAGAAGGCCUUCGGGUUGUAAAGCCCUUUUGUUGGGAAAGAAAUCCAGCUGGCUAAUACCCGGUUGGGAUGACGGUACCCAAAGAAUAAGCACCGGCUAACUUCGUGCCAGCAGCCGCCGUAA